AGAGUUUGAUCAUGGCUCAGAACGAACGCUGGCGGCGUGGAUAAGACAUGCAAGUCGGACGGGAACUUUCGUUGUAGCAAUACAGUGGAAGUUCUAGUGGCGAACGGGUGCGUAACACGUGGGCAAUUUGCCUUAAAGUGUGGGAUAGCUCGGCGAAAGCCGGAUUAAUACCGCAUGUGGCUACUGGAGACAUCUUCGGGACGCUAAAGGUGGCGCAAGCUACCGCUUUUUGAGAAGCCCGCGGCCUAUCAGCUUGUUGGUGAGGUAACGGCUCACCAAGGCGUUGACGGGUAGCUGGUCUGAGAGGACGACCAGCCACACUGGGACUGAGACACGGCCCAGACACCUACGGGUGGCGGCAGUCGAGGAUUUUUGACAAUGGGGGAAACCCUGAUCGAGCGACGCCGCGUGGAGGAUGAAGGUCUUCGGGUUGUAAACUCCUGUCAUUUGGGAACAAGGCGUAUUUAUUAACUGUAAGUACGUUGAUAGUACCAGAAGAGGAAGGGACGGCUAACUCUGUGCCAGCAGCCGCGGUAAUACAGAGGUCUCAAGCGUUGUUCGGAUUCAUUGGGCGUAAAGGGUGUGUAGGUGGCGCGCUAAGUCGGGUGUGAAAUUUCGGAGCUUAACUCCGAAACUGCAUUCGAUACUGGCGUGCUUGAGGACUGGAGAGGAGACUGGAAUUUACGGUGUAGCAGUGAAAUGCGUAGAUAUCGUAAGGAAGACCAGUGGCGAAGGCGGGUCUCUGGACAGUUCCUGACACUGAGACACGAAGGCCAGGGGAGCAAACGGGAUUAGAUACCCUAGUAGUCC
rnacentral:rRNA from 1 species